rnacentral:rRNA from 1 species
UCCAGACUCCUACGGGAGGCAGCAGUGGGGGAUAUUGCACAAUGGGGGGAACCCUGAUGCAGCGACGCCGCGUGGGUGAAGGAGCGUUUCGGCGCGUAAAGCCCUAUCGGCAGGGAAGAAGGAGGACGGUACCUGACUAAGAAGCCCCGGCUAACUACGUGCCAGCAGCCGCGGUAAUACGUAGGGGGCAAGCGUUAUCCGGAUUUACUGGGUGUAAAGGGGGCGCAGACGGCAGCGCAAGCCAGGAGUGAAAGCCCGGGGCCCAACCCCGGGACUGCUCUUGGAACUGCGCGGCUGGAGUGCAGGAGGGGCAGGCGGAAUUCCUGGUGUAGCGGUGAAAUGCGUAGAUAUCAGGAGGAACACCGGUGGCGAAGGCGGCCUGCUGGACUGCGACUGACGUUGAGGCCCGAAAGCGUGGGGAGCAAACAGGAUUAGAUACCCGCGUAGA